rnacentral:tRNA from 1 species
GUGUUGGUAGCUCAGUGGUAGAACUCUUGCCUCCCAUGUAGAAGACCUGGGUUCGAUUCCUGGCCAAUGCA